rnacentral:rRNA from 1 species
GUAAGGAAUAUUGGUCAAUGGACGAAAGUCUGAACCAGCCAUGCCGCGUGGAGGAUGAAGGUCCUCUGGAUUGUAAACUUCUUUUAUAUGGGACGAAAAUGGGGCUUUCUAGCUCAACUGACGGUACCAUAUGAAUAAGCACCGGCUAACUCCGUGCCAGCAGCCGCGGUAAUACGGAGGGUGCAAGCGUUAUCCGGAUUCACUGGGUUUAAAGGGUGCGUAGGUGGAUUGGUAAGUCAGAGGUGAAAUCUCCGGGCUCAACUCGGAAACUGCCUUUGAUACUAUCAAUCUUGAAUAUUGUGGAGGUUAGCGGAAUAUGUCAUGUAGCGGUGAAAUGCUUAGAUAUGACAUAGAACACCAAUUGCGAAGGCAGCUGGCUACACAUAUAUUGACACUGAGGCACGAAAGCGUGGGGAUCAAACAGGAUUAGAUACCCUUGUAGUCC